rnacentral:lncRNA from 1 species
GGCUGGAUCAGACACUUUGAGGUUUCUCUCCACACCAGUCCCCCUAUAGGUUAGCAGAGGAUUGGAGGAAUCUUUUAGAGGCCAGACUGCUGAGAGUUUCCUGCCAUGGGGCCGGCCCCGAGCAGAGCUGACUGGCCAUCUUGGAAGUUGGAACUCCAGGGUGGAAGAGUGGUUGGUAGGCAGCUCUCACUGGCCUUGGGGGGACUCCUUCCUUUCCCUCUGCUCCUGCCGACCAGAACUUCCCACUUCAAGAAGACUUUUUGGGAAGAGGAAAAGUAGCAUCUGUGAUUUCGAGACACCUCUGCCAGCAUCUGGAUGGGAUUCAGAAUUGGGAAGGCAAAGUAAUCAUACCGAUAAAAAGAGGGAGGAUUUUGGACCUCCAUGAAGAUACUGAAGUGGGGGGGAGGCAGGGAGAGAGGGUGUUUAUCUGCUUGCCUGGCUGGCACCGUUGCUGUCAUCGUUUCCUUACAUCUUCACCACGACAAGACUGUGUCAUUCGAGCCAUCUUGAGAAGGAGAAGAUGAAAGCUGGGAGGCCGUGAACAUCUCGCCCAGAUUUAUGUUGCUGCAAAAAGAAUUGAAAUUGGGAGGCAGAUUGCAUCCAAAGCUGGAAUAUUUCCAUGUGCUCUUCCCUACACCAUCCUAAAGACGUGGAAGGCAGGGCCUCCCCUCCCUUCCGUGCACCUUCUUGCCCCCGCCCCUGUGGUCUCUGUAUCUGCACUAAGAUGAAUGUGCUCUGGCCUCUCCCACCUCACACAGAGCAAGGAGAAAAGGCAACAGCCUCAAAUCUGCCCAAUAUUCCACGGAAGCUGGUCUUUCUUCUACAUGGACAGUGAUUCCCUUUGAAAAGGCAGCAACAUUGAACUGCCCCAGCUUCCUGGCUAUGCCCACCGAUGAAGGUGACAAUCACGAUGCAGAAAUGGACAGUGGGGAGCGUUGGAUGGAAUAAUUACAAUAGUGAACAAAGAACAGCGGUGAAGACAUUUUACCCAAACAUCUUACUUGCUGUUGGAAGUCUGGCUUGACCCAAUGUGAGGCCCUCUUCUCCAUUCCAGAUCCAGGACACCAUUCCCUGAAGGAGCCGCCAGGGGCCUGUGGGAUAGAGGCCAUUGCCGGGGAUGCCCUGAUAGAGGUAAGUGAAGCCCCAGAAGAUCAGCUUUGUCCAGGGGGCCAGGGGUCCUCAGGAUUAUAACAGCAGUGGACCCAGGAUGCUUCCCGUCUGGGAUCAGGGACUAUGGAAAACAAUGGAGUAGGACUCCAGGGACCAACAGAAAGAAACAUUCUACUGGGAAACAUGAGCGGCAGUCCUGGGCCUUUCACAUGUCAUUUUUUUUUUCCACGGAUGAGUCACAUAUGUUAUUGAAGCAUCAGUUUUCUCAUCUUCAAAAUGGAGUCUGUACUUACCUUUUUGUCUCUCUUACCCUCCACAACACCACAGACUCCAACAGGCAGGGACUAUAUUUUAUUUUCAGCGUCCCAAUUACAUCCAGCUCAUGGUAUAUUACCUGGCACCUUGUAGCCACGAUACCUACUUGUUGAAAACUAAAGUGAGUGUAGGAGUUCCUGUCAUGGCUCAGUGGUUAAUGAACCUUACUAGUAUCUAUGAGGAGGUGGGCUCGAUCUCUGACCUUGUUCAGUGGGUUAAGGAUCUGGUGUUGCUGUGAGCUGUGGGGUAGGUCGUAAAUGCAACUCAGAUCCCCCGUUGUUGUGGCUGUGGUGUAGGCUGGCAUGUAGCUGUUUCGACCCCUAGCCUGGAAACCUCUAUAUGAUGUGGGUGCAGCCCCAGAAAGACCAAAAAAAAUUAAAGUAAGUGUAACAUAAGAAAGCAUAGAUAUAAAUGUUUGUAAACUUCAGGUAUAACAACAAUGUUCUCACCACCUCCAAGAUUAGCAUCCGUUUCUAUGCUUAGCAGGUAUACAGUUUGUGUUGGCUGAUAGCCUCCACAUCCUCUGUGCAAUGUAGAGCAUAUUGUGAGGUUGUUUUCAUCAAAAACACGGAAUAUUUUCAAGCAGGAGAGCACCUGUCCUAUGUCAGACCGUACCUAUAAAUCUCCAGGUUGUCUAAGGUCUGAUGGCAGGUAGGUAACAUGCAGGUCUCUACCUGCUCCCUCUGUACUCAGAGAACAUAUUGCUUAAGACGCUUUCCUGCUGAGCCUGAACGUGGCUUCCACAUUCUUCUCUCCUGCUGUAAAAAUAGGGCUGUCCUUAUCCUUCAACCCAAACAAAUAUCUCAAAGAGUUAUGAUUUGGUUUUGCUGCUAGGAAAUAAGAGAAAUAGCAAAGAGGGAAUGAAUCAAUCCAUCCAAGGGAGAUUACUGUUAAAUUGAUUAGAAACAAGCCCCACCCCCACCCCUGCAUAGAAAGGCCACACCCAGAACACCGGAUUCAACUGCUCUGUCUCGGUGAUGGGCUGCAUUUUUUUUUUUAAUAAUAUUUUAAAGCACUUUACAAACAUUUCUAAAUUGAUAUAAUGCCUUGGAACCAGUUUAGAACACAGCAACAAGAGUGAUUAAAAGGCCAGAAGAACUGAUUUAUAAUGAAAGAUAAAGAAUGGAAUAUGACCUGAAGUUUCCAUCUUGGCUCAAUGGUUAAUGAACCCGAUUAGUACCCAUGAGGACGCCGGUUUGAUCCUUGGCCUUGGUCAGUGGGUUAAGGAUCUGGCAUUGCCAUGAGCUGUGGUGUAAGUCACAGAUGCCUCUUGGAUCCCAUGUUGCUGUGGCUGUGGUGUAGGCCGGUGGCUGUAGCUCUGAUUUGACCCCUAGCCUGGAAACCUCUGUAUGCUGUGGGCGUGGCCCUAAAAAGCAAGAAAAAAAAAAAAAAAAA